rnacentral:rRNA from 1 species
UACGGAGGGUCCAAGCGUUAUCCGGAAUCAUUGGGUUUAAAGGGUUCGUAGGCGGUUUUGUAAGUCAGUGGUGAAAGCCCAUCGCUCAACGGUGGAACGGCCAUUGAUACUGCAAGACUUGAAUUAUUGGGAAGUAACUAGAAUAUGGUAGUGUAGCGGUGAAAUGCUUAGAGAUUACAUGGAAUACCAAUUGCGAAGGCAGGUUACUACCAAUAUAUUGACGCUGAUGGACGAAAGCGUGGGGAGCGAAC